rnacentral:rRNA from 1 species
GAACGGGUGAGUAACGUGAGUAACCUGCCCUUGACUCUGGGAUAACCCGGGAAACUGGUAAUACUGGAUGCUACAUGUCACCGGGUUGUGUGGAAAGUUUACUGGUCUUGGAUGGGCUCACGGCCUAUCAGCUUGUUGGUGAGGUAAUGGCUCACCAGGCGACGACGGGUAGCCGGCCUGAGAGGGUGACCGGCCACACUGGGACUGAGACACGGCCCAGACUCCUACGGGAGGCAGCAGUGGGGAAUAUUGCACAAUGGGCGAAAGCCUGAUGCAGCGACGCCGCGUGAGGGAUGACGGCCUUCGGGUUGUAAACCUCUUUCAGCAGGGAAGAAGGACGGUACCUGCAGAAGAAGCGCCGGCU